UCGGGGGUAGCUCAGUGGUAAAGUGCCUGCCCAGCAGGAGGGAGGCCCUGGGUUCAAUCCCCAGCACCCAGA
rnacentral:tRNA from 1 species